UACGGGGGGGGCAAGCGUUGUUCGGAAUUACUGGGCGUAAAGGGCUUGUAGGUGGCCAACUAAGUCAGACGUGAAAUCCCUCAGCUUAACUGGGGAACUGCGUCUGAUACUGGAUGGCUUGAGAUUGGGAGAGGGACGCGGAAUUCCAGGUGUAGCGGUGAAAUGCGUAGAUAUCUGGAGGAACACCGGUGGCGAAGGCGGCGUCCUGGACCAACACUGACACUGAGGCGCGAAAGCGUGGGGAGCAAACAGG
rnacentral:rRNA from 1 species